GCAGCGGAGCGUGUGGUUUAAUUCGAUGCUACACGAAGAACCUUACCAGGGUUUGACAUGCAAGUGGUAGGAACCGAAAGGCGACGACCUUCGGGAGCUUGCACAGGUGCUGCAUGGCUGUCGUCAGCUCGUGUCGUGAGAUGCUCGGUUAAGUCCGCUAACGAGCGCAACCCUCACUGUGUGUUAUAUGUGUCACACGGGACUGCCGGUUUUAAGCCGGAGGAAGGUGGGAUGACGUCAAGUCAGCAUGGCCUUUAUAUCCUGGGCUACACACACGCUACAAUGGUCGGUACAAUAGGUUGCCAAGCCGCGAGGCGGAGCCAAUCCACAAAGCCGGCCUCAGUUCAGAUUGUAGGCUGCAACUCGCCUGCAUGAAGAUGGAGUUGCUAGUAACCGCAGGUCAGCAAUACUGCGGUGAAUACGUUCCCGGGUCUU
rnacentral:rRNA from 1 species